UGAUUACUCCCUCCAUCUGAAAAAGCUUGUCAAAUGGAUGUAUCUAGCAUCAAGUUAGUGCUAGAUACAUCCAUUUGAGCAACAAGCUUGGGACAAGUUUUUUCGGACGAAGGGAGUACUUG
rfam:Triticum aestivum genome assembly, contig: Triticum_aestivum_CS42_TGACv1_scaffold_486861_6AS